rnacentral:rRNA from 1 species
GCGAGGUAGAGCAAAUCUCGAAAAAACAUCUCAGUUCAGACUGUAGGCUGCAACUCGCCCGCACGAAGUCGGAAUUGCUAGUAAUCGUAGGUCAGCAUACUACGGUGAAUACGUUCCCGGGCCUUGUACACACCGCCCGUCAAACCAUGAGAGUUGGCAACACCCGAAGUCGGUAGUCUAACCGCAAGGAGGACGCCGCCGAAGGUGGGGUCGAUGAUUAGGGUUAAGUCGUAACAAGGUACC